GACGAACGCUGGCGGCGUGCUUAACACAUGCCAGUCGAACGGAAAGGCCCUGCUUUUGCGGGGUGCUCGAUUGGCGAACGCGUGUGUAACACGUGUGUAACCUGCCCCUGUCUUUGGGAUAACUUUUGGAAACUCGGGCUAAUAUCCGAUAGGAUCUCCUGCACCAUGGUGGUGGUUGGAAAGAUUCGGCGGUUGUGGAUGUACUCGCGGCUUAUCCGCUUGUUGGUGGGGUAGUGGCUUACCAAGGCUUCGACGGGUAGCCGGCCUGAGAAGUUGACCAGGGACAUUGGGACUGAGGUACGCACCAGAAGCGUACGGGAGGCAGUAGUGGGGAACAUGACACAGUAAGGGGAAGCCUGAGGCAACGACGUCGGGAGCGGAAUGACGGGCUUCGAGUUAUAAACAACUGUCGAAGGUGACGAGGCGUGAGUGACGGUAAUGGGUAAAGAAGCACCGGCUAACUACGUG
rnacentral:rRNA from 1 species